rnacentral:rRNA from 1 species
UACGGGGGGGGCAAGGCGUUGUUCGGAAUUAUUGGGCGUAAAGAGCUCGUAGGCGGUCUGUUGCGUCCGCUGUGAAAUCUCGGGGCUUAACCCCGAGCCUGCAGUGGAUACGGGCAGACUAGAGGUAGGUAGGGGAGAAUGGAAUUCCCGGUGUAGCGGUGAAAUGCGCAGAUAUCGGGAAGAACACCCGUGGCGAAGGCGGCUGCUCUGGGACGGUACUGACGCGUGAGACGCGAAAGCGUGGGGAGCGAACAGG